CCUAUACAGUGCUUAAGCACAUUACACAAACCAUGUAGUGAUGUUGCAGACUUUCUAUUUUUAUUUAAGAAGGUUCCUGAGGACGUAUGCAUGGGUUUUCCUCGUUUUUCAGAUCCAGGUAAGAAUAUUAAAUGGUUAUUCUUUUGCUAGUAUAUGAUCAAAGAGUCUCUUACAGCGGUGUGAUCCUGGAUCAUGUAUUCAGAGUUUCAUGGAGGCUGUUGCUCUACUGGCUCACAUAAAGGUAACUGGUUAAAGUAUCUUCUUACUCCCCACACACCUCAGAAGAAAUGGCUUUUGCUUGCUCUUCCCUUGUUUCGGGAUAGUACGUGCUUUAGGAGAUAUUUGUGCAUGUCAAUUAGGGACCAACACAGUGAGAUACUACCAUGUGCUUCUGCAGAUGAGCUGCAGAGCUUAUAUGUGUUUAACUGAUAUGUCUAUUAAGACCCAGCAAUGUGUCAAUUCUUUUGGUUUUGUUUAAAAGUUCCUCAUCAGUACUAAAUGACUUUUACAAUCUAUAGCAUGAACAAAAAUGUAAUUUUUAUGUUAAAAUUCUCAAGAUCUUUGGGAUCUUCAAGAAGAAAGGGCGGUCUCCUCCAUAAUCACCGCUGAAGAUUACAUAUGGGAACAAAUGUUGAAGCUGGGAACUGCGUGAGCUCUUGGAGGUGAUAUACGGUAGAAAGUCCUUUAAAGCACAAGCACUUUGCUAUAGCUGUGAAAUUAAUGAUUUUGUUUAAACUAGAGCUUCGAUCCUAUGUGUUGGUUGUCCCUAUGCAUUGAUUCCCUUAUUUCUUUGUGAAGAUUUGCUUGCUUCUGUUCAGUCUGCAAUUCAUCUGUCUUUACAGAAAGCAUUAAGCCAGGAACCUACAGCUUCUGGUGUCAGGAUGGUAAUCCAGAGAAAGAAAAGGCCUUUAAGUUGUUCAGGAUGUCUUCCCCAAAUGUCCUUGAAAUACAAUUUCUUUCUCCCUUUGGGGCAUUAGGAGUCACCUGUAGUGAACUGGGACAAUGUACGCCUUGAGGUAUGUUAGUGUGAACUGUUCCAUGAGCAACUGCUGCAAUGAUCAUAAUGCGUAAGUCACAAUAAGAAAAAAAUUAUAGUCGUUUGGGAGAAGUGAACAUAUUUCCAAUAAUUUUGCUUAAUGACUGUGCCCUUUUCUGCGUAACACUGCACAUUUUGAUGAAAUAGCAAGGUUUUGCCACAAGGCACCUUUUGUAAGCAGUAAACAAAAGAGCAUUGAUGGAAAUGAAUUACCAGACAGGAUGCUGACCUCAGAGCAAAACCCCUGCAAGUAGGAGGUAGGACAUGGGCUGCUACUCUGCAUUGUCAGAUCACUACAGAAAGCAGGUAUGUAGAUGAGGAUGUUCUCUCAGAAGACGUUGGAAAACAAGAGGCAGAAGUAUUCUAGAGGAUUAGGAGCAAUUGUCAUAGCUAUACGAGUGCAUGCAACAUAGCUAUGAGUCUCAAGAGAGUCCAACCCAUCUGUUGUAGAUGUGCAGCAGUCAGGAAGAUGAUAGGUAGCAUAUGAACCAGGCCUUGCAAUAUGUCCCUGUGGAUGUUAAUGACAAACCAAUCCAAAUCUCUUGAGUUUCAGGAUAUGUUUUUCUUUUGCCUAAUUUCAAGUGAAAAAGAGAAUUCUGAUGCAAAAUGCAUGUUAUAAAAUUUUAAUUAAGUAAGCCCCGAUAGGAAACAUUUACUUGUAGUAUUUUUCUUUGUUGAUAAAGUGUGCUGCCCAGUUCAGACUGUGAUCUUAAGGCAGUGGCAUCUCAACACACUGUGUGAGACAGAUCCAUUCCCCAAGGGAGCUUUCACCUGAAGAGCAAAACAGUAGAGCAGAAACAGAAAAAGCGAAAUUACUUACACAAGGUCAUGAAGGUCUGCAGUAAAGCCAGGAGUGGAGUUCAGAUAUUGUAAUUCAUGGAACAGCUCUGAACCACAGGAUGCGCUGACCUCCAGUAGCAUUUGGAAGCACAAAGCAGCAAAUUCCAGAGAGAGAAUCAUAAAGUGAAGAAACAGAGAACCUGAAGCUAAUACUGAGAGGCAAUCUGGGGCUACUGGAUGUGAGAAUGGGCUGCCCAUGCGAGGCAACAUACAGUAAAGCCAAAUGGAGGUGAAUCCCUUGGAAAGAAUAUCUCCUCUCUAGGCUGAUAAUUAUAGCUCAUGAACAAGGUGUCUUCACUUCAAAUAUCUUUCUAGACUGAAGUCUUUCAGUUUCUCAUAAAAAUAAUGGAUCGUGGAAACUAAGGAGUAGAUGUAUGACUAGCUCUGAGAUGACUAAACAGUGGGAGUUACAGCAUGAUAUGAGGUACUGGUACUGGCCUCAGCAAGAAGGAACAAAAACGAGUGGGCCACAUUGUUUGCACCGUGUUGUAUUUUCUUUUAUUUUGAUUUGGUUUGUUUGUUUGUUUUUACCGGGAAGAGUCUCAGCUGCUCACCUUACUAUCGCAUGAGCUGGUACACCCAUCACCCACAGAUGAUCUUUUUGUCCUGCUGCAGUAAGCGCUGGCAUUAUACAAGGAACUCUGAGGGACAUGUGCAAGGGGUGAAGAAAGGUGGGUGGGAGUAUAAAACAUGUUGUAUUGUUCGCAUUUUGUGUGUCAUAUUUAUUUAGCACAACACCAUGCCGGGAAUACAGUAUUAGCAGCAAUAAUUAAUAAUCCUUCAUAAUUCAACAGAAAGAGAAAGGGAAGAGUAAAACCAAAGCGAAUUCCAUCCCAACUGCCUCAUGCAACUGAUGGUUUUUUCUUUGAGGCUAUUUUUGAUUUAACCUUUAGGUGAACAUCUUUUCUGGAUAUGAUUGUAUAUGUUUUCUUGUCUGCAUUCCUUCCAUUUAUAUCUCUACUAUGCACCUUUAAAAGCAUGUUGGCCCAAUUAAUCACUGCUGCUCAUCUUCAUGCAUUUCAGUCUUCUUAGAUGUCCAUAGCAUCUAAGUAUGAAGAGAAAGAAGGAAAAGCCCUUAUGAAAAAUUGCCAGCAAAGCAGCAUGUUACGAAAAUAAAGCUGGAGUCCCUAGACCUUUGUGUUUUGAAAAUCAAAUGAGUCAAAAGAAUACAGUAUGACCAUAUCCAGUAGGGGCAAGAUGGCCAAACAUUUGCCUGUGGGUGGUGGCAUCUGGGGAGGACAAACCAGAUGUGUGUUUUGGUUAGAGCAAAAUCUUCAGGAACCAGCUCCCUUCUUGAUUGGAAAAGGGAACUGCAGUCUCUGGAGUCUUUGUGAUCUGAGCUGAGAACCAAGGGCUGCAACAGGUGCUGGUGGUGUGUUGCACUGUCAGAGGUGGCUGUGGGGACCACCUGUGGUUCCUUCACAUCUGCAAUAAACAGAUUUGUCUGUAAAAUAUAUGCACUUAGCCUACAUUUUUUUCCUUCUGUAUGGUAUGUUAGGGAAGCAGUUUUCAACUGGCAAGGUCUGCCCCUGUUGAGGCACUACCUGCUGAACAAGCAAUGAGCCUUGGAGUGUAAUGAGGUUCAGAAUGACUCUGGUUUGAUUGCAGUGAGGCCUGGCCUAGAUCAUUGUAGCCUUUCAGCCCCCAGUUUGCCCUGUGCUCAUACCAAGGCACAGUAAGUAUGCGGUCAAGGGAUUCUGCAAAGGGUGGAUGAAGUGGAGGAGCUUGACAGUUGUCAUAAAGUACUAGCUAGGAUUGCCUUUCUUCCUCCCCUCCACAGCUAUAAAACAACUUCUCUAAGAGCAAUCAUGGGAUUUGAAUUUCAUUACUGCUGAUACAUUUUGUAAUAGCUCCCGACACUACUUUCUCAACUGAUAAUUUAGUUAAGCUCUCUGCUGCACAUGCUAAUGCUUCUGUGUGGAGGCAGUGGAAAAUUACUUAAUAAAACUUAACGCUGCUUUCAUUUCAUGGCUGUUAUUAUCAAAUAUUAGUCAUUGCUGAGAAUCAUUCCUUGAACAGUUCUUUCUUAUCAUCUAUAUGCAUUUGGCUAUCACCUCUUAGAAAUGCAGCAGCAUCUUGGGUGGUAAAUGAAGGCAGCUUUCAUUUUUGUCAGCUGUGCAUCUUGAAAGCAACUGUGAUCUUAAGCAGGAGUUAUUGUUAUUUCUGUGGUGGUUCAGCACAAAAAAAUGAAAUUUUAGUUGAAGUCUGAAUAUUUUAUGAGUGUUUCUGUUAUCAGUUAAGCUCAUAUCCCACUAAAAAGUUCCAUGCUUAAUUCAGUUAGUUAAGUUAAGAAACAAAGAAAAUUUCUCAUGCUGUUGCGUCUGCUUCCUAGUCUAUAUGAAUUUAUGAGAGCUAGGAAGAAAAGACUGAGAUCUUGCAAAGCUUUCUAUAUGUGUGUGUAUAUACAGAUACUGACUCCAGUUCUUCUGCCUGUUUAUUUGAACAAAACUUCAUGUAUAAGCAUUCAAAAUAUUUUCAAGACCAAUAACAUUUCCAUUGUGGCUUGAAAAGCCCAAGAAGUGUUUGUUUUCUCCUUAUAUUCAUUGGGUAAUGAAGAUAUCUAUUAUUAAUGUUACUUUAGUGAAAAAUCAAUGCAUUUCCGAUUCUGGUGCUCGAUUGAAAAGGAUUUGCCUGUCUGGUACAGCCAUGCUCUUCUCUCAGGGUAGAAAAACACUGUUUUGUGUUGGAAUCUAUGACAACAGCAACCCUCAAAUGAUUUCUGAUACUGGGGAUAUGUCCUGCAUUGCCAUGUUUUUUCCUUUCAUUCUGAAGGCUACAUUUUCCAGUCAGACAAAAUCAAAUUGCUCUAUGCUUGAUGUUGAGAUGCGUAUAUUCCACCUAAAUCGCACCCAGCAGGCAGCACUACAUAUAUUAUUUCUUUUCUACAGCUUGGAUAAAUUCUAAGCUGUUUUGAACCUGCUGUGGCCUGAUCUGUGCUGUCAACUGUAUUUUGCAUGGCUUUGGCUGUACCAACACUAGCUCACCAGGAGAGAUAAGGAGUUCUGGAAUACAACGGUCUCCAGGAACAUAUGGAGCAUCAGGAACAGGCACAUUCCAUUUAAAUGUGUUGGCUGGGACCAUGCUUACAGUCUCAUGCAUCAGGAUGGCAGUCUUAAAGGAGGAAGUGCCAUCCGCCCUUUGUUUGUAUUAUUUUAUACUCACUUCUUAAUGACAGUUAAUCCCAUUUGUGCUCUUCUACAAAAUCUGUGCUGCUUUGGGGCUUCCUGAGGAAUUGUUUAUUGUAGUGGUGCUCUGCCACUUUGGAUAGCCAGCCAAGCCUGACCCUACCGUAGCUUUUUGUUACACUUCCCCUCAGAUGCACCACCAACACAAACAUGGAAACCCCUCAUUUGCUUUCCAUUUUGUGGGCGUCUUCAGUAAACUCUCACUAAAGGUGACUGGGAAAAACGUUUUCUCACCCUCAUAGUACCCAUUGUUCCUCUGCAUAAAGGAGAAUCUUCUCAAUGUAAACGAGGAGUCUCUGAACAUUCAGUGGACUUUCUGAGAAGUUAACAAACUUAAUUAGAAAUGAGAUCUUCUCUCAUUAUUUCCAAGGUCAUCCCCACUCAGACUACUUAAACAAGAAUUAUUUGCUAAAUGACAAAAGAGCUUCCACAGGAACAUGACUGACUCCUAAGCCAGGAUUUUCUUCAUUGAGCAGAAACUGGUCCUCCCCAAACUUUUCAUGCACGUUAUAAGAAGUAUUGCCGCUUCAUAAGCCAGCUAGCAAAAAUGAUGUUGUAAGAAAAUCAAAUCUCUAUCACUCAAUUUCAGCUAAUUUCUAUUUGGAGUAAGACAUGUGGGAAGAGGUAAUACCUUUUAUUGUCACAUUUAGAAAGAACAGGCAAGCGUCUGAGUGCACAAGCAUUUCUCAGGGGAUAAUGUAACUUCUAGGACAGCUGUGUCUAUCUGUAAGCUGAUUUCUCAGGUUGCGCUGGUUUCCAUGCUCCAGAUCUUGCUUCUCCCCCCGUGCUGUGCAGGGCUCCAAGUGCCUGUUAGCUUGCACACUGGAGAUCCCUCCUUCCCAGCAGGCAGUCAAUAUAUCUUGUGAUGGUGUGGGAUCCGUUGGGAUACAUGGAGAUCUCUGAAUGUGAAAUGUGAUUAUUGCAGCUUUGUUUUAAAGGUCAGCCUGCCAUAUUCGCACAACAGGGUUGAGAAGGACUGUAUGCCUCAGAUAAUUUAUGUGGACCAGGAUUGUGUCCAAAUAUUAAUAGUGCUGAUUAAAUAAAGCUGGGGAAAAUAUUCUGUUUCUGCAAAUAUUGAACCUCCUGUUUUAUUUAUAAUCCUACAAUAAAAAGAAAAUUUAGCGGUAAAGAUGGGCACAUCUUCAAUGUUAUAGAUCUAUGGGAAUUUUUAACAAUUUCAAAGCAAAACCUCACGCUGGAGGACUCGGACAUCUGUAGAGAUAAGGUCAGCCUGCCUUUUCUGAACAAUGAAGCACAGACAAAAAUAACCUUAAGAUUUAUAAUUCGGGCAGUGGAACUAUAACCCAUAGCAAAUCAACAGCAAAGCCAUUUGAAUGAUUUGGUUUCUUCAAAUACUAAAAGCAUUCACAUUUUUUUUUGAGGGGAGGAGGAGGGAGGAUCCUCAUAGAGGGUUUAAAAACAUGAGAGGGUUAAGAAGCACCAUGUGGGAUUUUCAAGGGAGCUGUGGGAACUUAUAUGCCUCAGAAAUACGUAUUCAACAAUGAGUAUCAGGGUCAGAUGAUUUAUACAGGCCCCAAAUCCCAUUAAUGCAGGCAUUAAAUAUUACAAAAUUCCCAUUGUAGAUCAUCAAACUACAAGAACACUGGUUGAUAAUCAACAGACCUUAAAGAAAGGGGAGAGAUUAAACUCUUCCAUCACUAACUAGCACAUCUGUAGCAAAUCCAUAGGAAGGAAAAAAAGAGAGGGGGAAGUUAAACAUUUUUAUCAACUUGUACUUGUUCCCCAUUUAUUACUGAGCAUGUGAAGGGUGAGUAUCAGUAUCACAGCUGGAAGCAGGGGGAAAUGACAAAGCAAAGAGCAACCUUUUGCACUUUUUGAAAUGGAUCUGAGGCUUGUCAGGAAACUCGGCACGUGCCUGGUGGUGCAGCAUGUUCCAUGUAGCCCCACAGUACUCAAACAGAGAGCCAAUGGGUCAGACUCUCAGAGACUCUGAGAUCUCUACUUAUUUUGAGGUCUGUCAGUGUUCCAGCAGAGGAUUUUAUCUUUUCUGAAUUGUUUUGUACCAUGCAUCCUCAACAACAUCCAUCUCUCGGAGGCGGAACCAGAGUCAAUACUGCCAGCUCUUCUGUUUGUUACUCUGCAUGCCACAGGGCAGCGUGGGGGGGUGAGCGGGGUACCUGUCACUCUGUGAGGGGUGAACCGCGAGAGAAUACUUCACCUGUCCCCAGGUUCCUCCCACAUGAAUGCCUCACUCCUACCGCUGGCUCCCUGGAGCUGCUGCCAUCAUCUGAGCUUAGUGGUCUUUUCUAACACCUGGAGGUAUGUUUGCCGCUAGACUCAGUUGUUCAGGUCCAUACAGCAAGAGACAAAAGGCUGUCAGGAGUGGAAGGGAAAAAGGAUAUGAAUGGAUUGCUGAACGUCAAGAGUGGAUGCAGACAAGGAUCCUUGCUCGUGCAGGUAAUUGCUGCAGAGGCUUGAGCUCUGCCGUGUGCUUCCUGAGAAUGGAGGAGGUUCCCCUGAGACAGAGAAGAUUAAGUGAGGACUUGUGCAACAGCCCCAAAUGUAAUUUAAUUAAUUUGUCCUCUUAUAAAAUCCACUACAACUCAUUUGGUUCUUGGUAUUUAUUCAUAGACACAAUCUUUAAUGCUGUAAUAAUGUUACCUUUCUUGCUUACAAUGAAGCCUCUCUUCAUUAGAACUUCAUCGUUUGUUUGCUUCUUUCACUAAGCAUCCUCUCAUAAGUAGGGCAGCAUAUUGCAAAGUAUUCUUUUAAAUAACUAAACCUAUAGCCAUCUCAAUAAAUGAACUAGGAAUGCUUUAUGGUGCAAAUCCUUGUUUUUAUUGUGUUUUUCCAAUUACUUUGUAAUUCACAAGGUUCAGUAGCUCACAAUGGAUCUCCCAGCCAUUACUGCAAAUCUGCACAGUUCUGCUCUUGGUAAAAUCACAGGAUAGAAAACUCCAGCAAGAAAAGUAGCUAUUUCACUUCCAAACCUUACUUCCCCUUUACUUUCUCCUGCCUAUCUGAAAGCUCGGAAUGCUCUUUGUUCUGUCCUGACUACGAGGAAUGAGUUUUUGCCUACUGCUGUUGGAUACUUCAGAGAGCUUGACAGAAAAUCGAAGUGAGAUGGGGCUUGAAAUGCCUUCUUUCUGAUCUCCGAGAGUCUUUUUCAGCUAUUAGGAGGAACAGCCCAGCAGCCUCUUGCGGGUCUUCAAGAAACAGCUGCCUUUAGCGCUGCUGUCUCCAGUGAGAGAGGAGCCUUCCAUCCUUGCAUCUGUACUGUGCUGUAUUUAUCAGAAGGAAGCUCGGAUUGCUUGAAUACUUUCUGGGAAAUUGUGAACAUCUGGGAGAAAUAAGAAGCCUGUUAUUUUUUUUUCUUCCCAUCUUUUUUUUUUCUCUAGGCUCUCUAUUGCUUCUCUUCUUCUCUUUUUCUCCUUCUCUCUUUCCAUUACCCUUCUCUGAGCUGUGUGCUGAGAACACGCUGAGCAAUCCUCCUGCUACUCCUGCACUGUUACCACAACAAGAAGUAGCCUUGUGGUGAGAUAAUGAGGGGCCGUUUUAUUUGCCUGAGGUAGAUAACCACAGUGCAGCAACGAAGGAAAAGUUCAUUUGGAGGAACAAACAGUAAAUGACAACUUGUCCAAACCCUCUCAGGCUUGCUUUUCCUAAAGAAAAAGAGAUGAACUGCCACGAGAUCUCUUUCUAUACCCCAAAUGGAGUGGACUUUCAAGAGUUUAGGUCCAAGGUAUAGAUAUGGACUUCGAUUGUCUAGAUGCGAUGUGUGUCUGUCCACCCCUCCUAAUAGCUUCUAACACUGUCAGCCUGUUUCAACAAUAUCCAACGGAGAGGAGUAGGUGCUCCAAGGCAUUAUUCCUUUAAGAUUCACAACAAUAGAUAGACAGUGAAAUCCCUCCUUCUGCCUAAGCGAGGAAAAGGUGGCGCAGAACCAGUUCUCACUUGGUGCUGGAGAAUCCAGGUAGACUUCAUCAGUGUCCCAGGCACAGGCAAAGCUGUUAAUGAAGUUAGUGCCUUCCCAGACCUUAGGGAAUUUGGUAAAGAUCCACAUGUGGAUGUCAGGUCUGCUUCUCAUUCUAGUUAUUAUGCAGAUUUCAAAAACACUGUGUGAUGUGGAAGUGAAAUAAAUGCAACUUCUCCAGAGGCUUUACGGGCCUCCACAGGAGAUCCGUGGAAGUAAUGGAUAGGAAAAGGUGGGUGAGCUCAUUAGUAAGAAGAGACACUUUGAACAGGAGUGAGGGCGGCGACAAGGGAAGCACUGGAAUAUGGCAAUGGAACAUUUAACACUGAUAAGAAAAGAACAUUUGUCAAUGGGUGAAAGUGAAAAUGGCUCAAAGCAGGGGUCUGAGCUGCAGCAGUGUAAUUAGGUAAUUAGUUCCAACGCAGUGGUCAGGCAAUACCAUUUUAUUUCAUAGGAAAUGCUGAUGUCUGUUCCCACCCUGAGCUGGAAGGAAUAGGCCCAAAACUAAAAUGCAGGAGAGGGAAAGUCCCUAUCAGACCUCCACAUGGAUGGAACAGUUUGGAUGCACUGUGCUGGAAACUGCACUAGAAGUCAGGAAGGAGAUGCCAGAGGAAAACGGGAAUAUUUUUUUCUCUUUCUGUUUUGUUGCUACAUUUUUCAGAAAGAAUCAGGGGGAAAGGCAGAGCAGAAGAUCUGCAGAGGAAGCGGGAAAAACAUUUGUUGUUUCCAAAACUUAAAAAUUAUGAGAUGAAAACUGACCUAAUUUACCUGCUUGCGUCUUGUCAGGUCUGGAGUUCGCAAAGUCUUGUCUAAGAGAGUGGUUCUGACUUAGCUUUUUCUAGUCCUGUUCACUAAAAAAGAGUAAACAUUUAUGGACUCAGUCUGGAAACUUGGCUGGAAAUUGCUGAUGAACCAGAAUAAAAAUGGGGGAAGCUGAGUAAACAUAAAACAACUGUGUUAAAUGCCUGACUCUGAAGGGCCAUAAAAUUUAUUUUGGAAAGUCCAGCUGUAAGUUUAAGCAUCAGGGUAGCUUUAAGGAACUCAGCUUAUUUUACAGCUGUAUUAAAGCAGCCUUGAAAAAAGACAGAAGGAUUGCUCAAAUUGCUAAAAACCUCGGACAUAACCCACUAUCACCUAUGCCAUCAAC